CCUACGGGAGGCAGCAGUGAGGAAUAUUGGUCAAUGGGCGAGAGCCUGAACCAGCCAAGUCGCGUGAGGGAAGACGGUCCUAUGGAUUGUAAACCUCUUUUGUCGGGGAGCAAAAAGGCCUCGUGAGGCCACAAGUGAGAGUACCCGAAGAAAAAGCAUCGGCUAACUCCGUGCCAGCAGCCGCGGUAAUACGGAGGAUGCGAGCGUUAUCCGGAUUUAGUGGGUUUAAAGGGUGCGUAGGCGGAGCGUUAAGUCAGUGGUCAAAUUGAGGGGCUCAACCCCUUCCCGCCAUUGAAACUGGCGUUCUUGAGUGGAAGAGAAGUAUGUGGAAUGCGUGGUGUAGCGGUGAAAUGCAUAGAUAUCACGCAGAACCCCGAUUGCGAAGGCAGCAUGCCGGCUUCCGACUGACGCUGAAGCACGAAAGCGUGGGGAUCGAACAGGAUUAGAUACCCUAGUAGUC
rnacentral:rRNA from 1 species